rnacentral:rRNA from 1 species
ACUCACGCUGGCGGCGUGCUUCACCCCUGCCAGUCGCACGGAAAGGCCCUGCUUUUGUGGGGUGCUCGAGUGGCGAACGGGUGAGUAACACGUGAGUAACCUGCCCUUGACUUUGGGAUAACUUCAGGAAACUGGGGCUAAUACCGGAUAGGAGCUCCUGCUGCAUGGUGGGGGUUGGAAAGUUUCGGCGGUUGGGGAUGGACUCGCGGCUUAUCAGCUUGUUGGUGGGGUAGUGGCUUACCAAGGCUUUGACGGGUAGCCGGCCUGAGAGGGUGACCGGCCACAUUGGUACUGCGAUACGGCCCAGACUCCUACGGGAGGCAGCAGUGGGGAAUAUUGCACAAUGGGCGGAAGCCUGAUGCAGCAACGCCGCGUGCGGGAUGACGGCCUUCGGGUUGUAAACCGCUUUCGCCUGUGACGAAGCGUGAGUGACGGUAAUGGGUAAAGAAGCACCGGAUAACUACGUG